rnacentral:misc_RNA from 1 species
UUAAUGUGCGGAAAGGA